GCCAGGCACAAUGGCAUAUGCCUGUAAUCCCAGUGACUCGGGAGUCUGAAGCAGGAGGAUCACUAGUUUGAGGCAAGUCUCAGCUACUUAGCAAGGACCUCAGCAAUUUAGUGAGAGCCUGUCUCAA
rnacentral:sRNA from 1 species